GGUGAACGCUGGCGGCGUGCCUAAUACAUGCAAGUCGAGCGAACAGAUGAGGAGCUUGCUCCUCUGACGUUAGCGGCGGACGGGUGAGUAACACGUGGAUAACCUACCUAUAAGACUGGGAUAACUUCGGGAAACCGGAGCUAAUACCGGAUAAUAUAUUGAACCGCAUGGUUCAAUAGUGAAAGACGGUUUUGCUGUCACUUAUAGAUGGAUCCGCGCCGCAUUAGCUAGUUGGUAAGGUAACGGCUUACCAAGGCGACGAUGCGUAGCCGACCUGAGAGGGUGAUCGGCCACACUGGAACUGAGACACGGUCCAGACUCCUACGGGAGGCAGCAGUAGGGAAUCUUCCGCAAUGGGCGAAAGCCUGACGGAGCAACGCCGCGUGAGUGAUGAAGGUCUUCGGAUCGUAAAACUCUGUUAUUAGGGAAGAACAAAUGUGUAAGUAACUAUGCACGUCUUGACGGUACCUAAUCAGAAAGCCACGGCUAACUACGUG
rnacentral:rRNA from 1 species